CAUAGCUCGUAUCUGUAGUAAUUAUUCCGCGGUGGCAGGCAUUUUGAGAAUUUGAGGCCGAUGUUACUGGCGGUAUGAUCGUUACAGCAGGAAACUACUGCAUCGAUUAGUAGGCUGGCAAAUGUUGGUGCAUAAAUGUCAUACCUAGUGUGGAUGCCUAUAGGUAUAGAUUCAACAGACUCAAAUUCUUGGUGAUAUCCAAUGAGCCAUUCAAAAUUAUUAGGUCGAUUCUGAAUAUUAGACCCAGAAUAGACUCUUUUUCUCGUGACAGUAAGUGCAUUAACGUUAUGCGUUGUGAUGGCUACUAUGUAGAAUAUGUUUUUCGUUGCACCUUUUGUAGGUGUGUUUCGGGAAACUUCAAAGUGUCUCGUGUGGAAAUUACUUCCAGCUGUAUACAGUAACAUUCAACGAAGGUGCCAUACUACAUCCAAAUAAAAUGGAUCCAACUAAGUGUCCUAGAGCUGAUGCUGACUUAUCACAUGUCUGUGAUUUUGGUGACCUUGUGAUUCCAGUUUUCAGUUUUGGGCUGGGGUGCGUGCGCCUGAGGGCUCAAGCGAGUUGAACAUUUUGAUGAUUUGUGUUGUGCGUCCGGCCGGCCUGGUGAUAGUAUCCGCCGUGUUAGACACUUGACAGCGUGGACAGUAUUUGUGAUAGGAUCAUCAGACUGCAGGAGGCCAUGGCGUUCUAACGCGAAGUGUUCGUCGUUCCAAGGAAAUCUUUCU